CUUCAUUACUACACGGUAACAUGUACAAUACAAGUGUAUCUAUCAUAGGGAUGAGGAAAUAUACAAGGUGUUUGGGGAGACAAGUACACUGAAUAACACCCAUCUUGGCUAACACACACACACACACACACACACACACACACACACACACACACACACACACACACACAUGUUCACUUAUAGAGAUUAUUUGCAAUUUUGUGACUAAUAUCUGGGUUUUUGGAGAGAGAGAGAGAGAGAGAGAGAGAGAGAGAGAGAGAGAGAGAGAGAGAGAGAGAGAGAGAGAGAGAGAGAGAGAGAGAGAGAGAGAGAGAGAGA